CACUGAGGUCCAGAGAGGGCAGGCACACGCGGGACAGCUCGCGGGCUGGGAGCUGUGCAGCUGCGGGGACCGACGCGCGGCCCGAACCGCGGCGUGCGGCAGCCCGCGGUCUCCCUCCCAGGGCUGGGGCGGGGGAAAGCCCAAGAGGCCGGGCCCCCGCGUUAGCCACGGCGACAGUGAUCACAGCGUGGGGCCGCUGCCAGCCCAGCGUCCUUAACGGAAGGAGGUAGGGUGGCAGCUAGGGAGGCCGAGUGGGCGGGCGGCUAAGGAAACCACCGCCCAGGCUACCACCGCGGGCGGCUCCGCUCGGGCGUGUUUGGGUCUGUUCCGGAGCCAGCGGGCGGUCAGAGGCGCCGCUUCAGCGUGGACAUCCCGGCGCCGCGGGAAAACCGAAGCCCGCGGGUGCACGAUCGCUCCUGCUGCCCCUACGACUGACUCCUCCGGCUCACCGUCUUCCCUCUGGGAGGAAGGGGCGGGACAUCCUGCCUUUCCGUUGACCGACUUCCGGCGGCUCCCUGGACAACUCCGUCGUGAGCCGACCGCCGGACGCUACAGCCAAAAUACAGGAUCUCGGGACCGGUUUAGUAAAACCCACUCCAAGUACCCUUUUUCUUUGCCUCGAAUGGCCAACGGGUCCGUGUGCCGUCUUGUUUUCGGUACAUCAUCGCUUGCCGGAAGUCGCUCGGAGAUGAAGCCGGAAGUCCCACCUCUCCCCUAGAGAAAACGGAAAGCCGAGGGAGUCAGUCUAAAGGAGAGAUCGUGGUCCGGCUGGGAAGCUGGCGGUGUCGGCCGGGGUGGGCAACCUGGGACUUAGAAGGUCCGCGAACGGGUUCCUCCCGGGCGACUCUGCCUCCGCGUCCCCUCCCUCCUCCAACCCCCUCGCCGCCCGCCUUGGGAAACCCCGAGGGUGACGCGGAGAAGCCGACGCCCCGGGCGCUGCGAAGGCCUGCGGGGCCUUGACCCGGCCCGAGGGGUGCCGCUGCCGAGGCCCUCAUGUAGAGGACCCAGCAAUUUCUGCUGGGCCAGGCGCGUGCGCCCCUCCAGAUUAAGAGAAAAAGCUCUCCCGAGACUCAGAUUGGAGUCCUCGCAGUCACAGGCCUAAGGGAGUCAGGAGCCGAAUUCCGAGGCAAAGGAGUUCAGUGUGGUGGUUCAGUUGGGCAGUAAGAACCGAAAACGCCCCUGCGUGGACUGUUUGUGAACGUUAACGGCACAAGGAUUGGCCGAAGAAAGACACUGUGCGCCCCAGUCACAGCCCCUUGCCCCUUGUGCAGGAGCAUCUAGGGCUUCGAGUCUAGAACCUCAGGACCCAGGAAGGAAGACCAAGUGCAAGGACAGCAGCACCUUAUCUAGAGACGGGCCCGGUAUCCCACCUGGGGUUAGAUGGUGACGAAUUCUAACUUCUCUUGCAGACAGGGGCACCUGUUAAUCAGAAUUGUAUUUAGGAAGAUAAAGUGAG